rnacentral:lncRNA from 1 species
GUCCUUUUGGGUUCACUCAGGUUUUUAUAAACUUUCUUUAUUAUCAUCACAAAGGAGAAAGAAGGCUUACUUAACUGAUGGAAUACUUUUAAUUAGGGAAUAAAUGACAAUCAACUGACCCUCCUAUCACCCAUCUGCUCAGCCUUCACACGUGCCUUAAAAUAGUAGAAUGUUAUUAAUCUAGAAUCCUUCCCACUGGGGAAAGAUUUUAAAGAGUCACUCAAAUGCUUAUUUGGAGUCUGAUGGGGAGCUCAAUGUGAUGAGAUUGCCUGAAUUUGGGACUUGCUUCAAGUUUUGCUAUACAUUAAUAUGAGUGCAGAUUUCCUUGGUCCUCUAGGAUCCUGUGUUGGACUGAGCCCUUCCUUAAGACCAAAAGGAAAGAAAAGGAAAAGAAGAGAAGAAAGCAAAGGAAAAAGGAAGGGAAGGAAAAGAAAAAGAAAAUGGGAAGGAAAAGGAGAGGACAGAGCAAGGAAGAAAAAUGGAAACACAUCUUUUUCCCCAGGCGAUGAAACCUAUGCCAGACAAACACUCUGCCGCUGAUGUACACCCUGUCCACAAC